rnacentral:rRNA from 1 species
UACGUAGGGUGCGAGCGUUAAUCGGAAUUACUGGGCGUAAAGCGUGCGCAGGCGGUUUGUCAAGCCAGACGUGAAAGCCCCGGGCUUAACCUGGGAAUGGCGUUUGGGACUGACAGACUGGAGUGCGGCAGAGGGAACUGGAAUUCCUGGUGUAGCAGUGAAAUGCGUAGAUAUCAGGAGGAACACCAAUGGCGAAGGCAGGUUCCUGGGCCAGCACUGACGCUCAUGCACGAAAGCGUGGGGAGCAAACAGG